UGGCUUGGAACGUGCAAGAAAAUUUCUCUUUGUGUUGAAGUCAUUAGUUCGAUCUAUAACCCAGACCUCACAACACAAAGAAAAAUUUUCUUGUGCGUUCAAAUC